AUGGAAGAGUCAUUGCAAGGGUGGCGUGAUGUGAAGCGACUUAUCGGCCGGCGUUUCUGCGACAAGUCAGUUCAAGGAGAUCUCAAGACGUGGCCCUUCAAAGUUGUGUCAGGUCCCAGGGACCGGCCGAUGAUCGUGGUGCAGUACAAGGAUGAGGAGAAGCAGUUUGAGGCCGAGGAGAUCUCGGCAAUGAUUCUCAAAAAUAUGCGGGAGACCGCCGUGGCCUACCUCGGCACGGAGGUGAAGAAUGCGGUCAUUACCGUCCCAGUCUACUUCACCGAUUCACAGCGCCAAGCUACCAUUGACGCCGGCACCAUUGCUGGCCUCAAUGUCCUGCGCAUUAUCAAUGAGCCCUCUGCCGCCGCGGUCGCCUAUGGGUUCGGCAAGAUGACCGACAGUGAGGAAGUUAAGACUGCGCUCGUGUUUGAUCUUGGUGGUGGUACCUUGGACGUCUCUAUUGUCAACAUCGAUCCCGGUGCAGACAUCGACAUGGCCGUCUUCAAGGUCAUGGCUACGGCCGGUGACACCCACCUCGGUGGCGAGGAUUUCAACAGCCUCAUGGUGAAACACUUCGUGCGGGAGUUUCUUAAGAAGUACAAGACGGAUGACAUCAGGAAGAACCCAAAGGCGCUUCGACGUCUUAGGACGGCAUGUGAGAAGGCCAAGAGGAUGCUCUCCAUCACGUCGCAGGCUACCGUUGAGAUUGAGUCUCUCCACGACGGCAUCGACUUCUACGGGGCCAUCAGCCGCGCAAAGUUCGAGCAGCUCAACAUGGACCUCUUCCGCAAGUGCAUCGAACACGUCAAGAAAUGCCUCGGUGAUGCCGAUAUGGACAAGUCCCAGAUCCACGACGUCGUGCUCGUGGGUGGCUCCACCCGGAUCCCCAAAGUUCGACAGCUGCUCCGGGAGUUCUUCGAUGGCAAAGAGCUCUGCACGAGUAUCAACCCCGAUGAGGCCGUCGCCUACGGUGCCGCUGUACAGGCCUCCACCCUUAGCGGCGACGACAAUGAAGUGCGGGAUGUACUCCUGCUUGAGGUCACACCGCUCUCACUUGGGGUGGAGACGGUAGGUCGUGUCAUGAGCGUGCUGAUACCCAGGAACAGCACCAUCCCUGUCAAGAAGGAGGACAUUUACUCGACCUGCUCCGACAACCAGACCAAUGUACUCAUCCAGGUGUACCAGGGCGAGGGCGAAGGAACCAAGGACAACAUCCUCCUCGGCAAGUUCACUCUCGGUGGCAUCCCCCGUGCGCCCAGGGGAAAGCCAAAGAUCAACGUCACCUUUGAAAUUGAUGCAGACAGCAUUCUUAAGGUAACGGCGGAAGACAUGAGUACGCCAAACAAGAAGAACGUCACUAUCACCACUGACAAGGGGCGGCUGACCGCGGAGGAGAUCAAGCGUAUGGUGCGUGAUGCCAACAGGUACAAUUCAGAGGACAAUGAGGAAACGGAGGAAAAAUUUUUUUAA
rnacentral:rRNA from 1 species